rnacentral:rRNA from 1 species
AGAGUUUGAUCCUGGCUCAGAAUCAACGCUGGCGGCGUGCCUAACACAUGCAAGUCGCACGAGAAAGGGACUUCGGUCCUGAGUAAAGUGGCGCACGGGUGAGUAACACGUGAAUCAUCUACCUUCGAGUGGGGAAUAACUGGGAGAAAUCUCAGCUAAUACCGCAUAAUACCUACGGGUCAAAGCAGCAAUGCGCUUGAAGAGGAGUUCGCGGCAGAUUAGCUAGUUGGCGGGGUAAUGGCCCACCAAGGCGAUGAUCUGUAUCCGGCCUGAGAGGGCGCACGGACACACUGGAACUGAAACACGGUCCAGACUCCUACGGGAGGCAGCAGUGGGGAAUUUUGCGCAAUGGGGGAAACCCUGACGCAGCAACGCCGCGUGGAGGAUGAAGUAUCUUGGUACGUAAA